AUUGAACGCUGGCGGCGUGCCUAACACAUGCAAGUCGAUCGGUAACAGGUGUAGCAAUACAUGCUGACGAGAGGCGGACGGGUGAGUAACGCUUGGGAAUCUGCCUACUAGUGGGGGACAACCCGGGGAAACUCGGGCUAAUACCGCAUACGCUCUACGGAGGAAAGCCGGGGACCGCAAGGCCUGGCGCUAAUAGAUGAGCCCAAGUCGGAUUAGCUAGUUGGUAGGGUAAUGGCCUACCAAGGCGACGAUCCGUAGCUGGUCUGAGAGGACGACCAGCCACACUGGGACUGAGACACGGCCCAGACUCCUACGGGAGGCAGCAGUGGGGAAUAUUGGACAAUGGGGGAAACCCUGAUCCAGCGACGCCGCGUGGGUGAAGAAGGCCUGCGGGUUGUAAAGCCCUUUCGGUGGGGAAGAAAAGGCCUCGACCUAACACGUCGGGGUAUUGACGUAACCCACAAAGAAGCACCGGCUAACUCUGUG
rnacentral:rRNA from 1 species